GAAAGCCAGCUGGUUAAUACCCGGUUGGGAUGACGGUACCCACAGAAUAAGCACCGGCUAACUUCGUGCCAGCAGCCGCGGUAAUACAAAGGGUGCAAGCGUUACUCGGAAUUACUGGGCGUAAAGCGUGCGUAGGUGGUCUGUUAAGUUGGAUGUGAAAGCCCCGGGCUCAACCUGGGAACUGCAUCGGAUACUGGGCGACUAGAGUACGGUAGAGGGUGGCGGAAUUCCCGGUGUAGCAGUGAAAUGCGUAGAGAUCAGAAGGAACAUCCGUGGCGAAGGCGGCUACCUGGACCAACACUGACACUGAGGCGCGAAAGCGUGGGGAGCAAACAGGAUUAGAUACCCUGGUAGUCCACGCCCUAACGAUGCGAACUGGAUGUUGGAUGCCUUUUGAUACGCAUGACCGAACUUAAGGAGUAAAGUGCGCGGCCGGGGGAGUACGGCCGCAGGACUGAACUUCAAAGGAUUUGACGGGGGCCCGCACAAGCGGUGAACUAGGUGGUUUAUUUCGAUGCAGCCGCGAAAACCUUACAUGGGCCUUGAACUUGCUCGAAGAACUGUUCUGAGAUGGAUGGUUGCCUUCGGGAACUCUGACACAGGUGCUGCAUGGUUUUUUGGUCAGCAA
rnacentral:rRNA from 1 species